AACGAACGCUGGCGGCAGGCCUAACACAUGCAAGUCGAGCGGACAUCUUCGGAUGUUAGCGGCGAACGGGUGAGUAACGGGUGGGAACGUGCCCUUUGCUUCGGCCUAGCCUCGGGAAACGGGCACUAAUACCGGGUUUACCCUUCCGGGGAAAGAUUUAUCGGCAUAGGUUCGGCACGCGAUGGACUAGGCAGUUGGUGGAGGAAGGGCGUACCAAGCCGACGAUAGAUAGGUGGUACGAGAGGAUGGACAGCCACACUGGGCCUGAGACACGGCACAGUAUCCUACGGGAGGCAGUAGGGGGGAGUCUUAUACAACGGGGGCAAGUCUAAUAAAGCCAUGCCGCGUGAGGGAUGCAGGUCUUGGGGUUGUAAAGUUAUGUCAACGGGGAAGAUAAUGACGGUACCCGGAGAAGAAGCCCCGGCUAACUCCGUG
rnacentral:rRNA from 1 species